UGAGGAAUAUUGGUCAAUGGGCGCAAGCCUGAACCAGCCAUCCCGCGUGCAGGAAGACGGCCCUAUGGGUUGUAAACUGCUUUUUCAGGGGGAGAAUUUUUCUGUCGUGACAGGAAUUGACGGUACCCUGGGAAUAAGCAUCGGCUAACUCCGUGCCAGCAGCCGCGGUAAUACGGAGGAUGCGAGCGUUAUCCGGAUUUAUGGGUUUAAAGGUGCGUAGGCGGACUGAUAAGUCAGUGGUGAAACCUGCAGCUUAACUGUAGACUUGCCGUUGAUACUGUCAGUCUUGAGUAUGGUCAAGGCAGGCGAAUGUGUAAUGUAGCGGUGAAAUGCUUAGAUAUUACACAGACACCGAUUGCGAAGGCAGCUUGCUGGGCCACGACUGACGCUGAUGCACGAA
rnacentral:rRNA from 1 species